UGAGUAACCUGCCCUUAACUCUGGGAUAAGCCUGGGAAACUGGGUCUAAUACCGGAUAUGACUCCUCAUCGCAUGGUGGGGGGUGGAAAGCUUUAUUGUGGUUUUGGAUGGACUCGCGGCCUAUCAGCUUGUUGGUGAGGUAAUGGCUCACCAAGGCGACGACGGGUAGCCGGCCUGAGAGGGUGACCGGCCACGCUGGGACUGAGACAC
rnacentral:rRNA from 1 species